rnacentral:tRNA from 1 species
UCCCCGUUCGUCUAAUGGCAGGACGCCGCGCUCUGGACGCGGUAAUCGAGGUUCGAGUCCUUGACGGGGAG